rnacentral:rRNA from 1 species
UUACCGGCUUGACAUGGAUAGAAAUCUCGCACAGGUGCUGCAUGGCUGUCGUCAGCUCGUGUCGUGAAAUGUUAGGUUAAGUCCUGCAACGAGCGCAACCCUGUCUUAGUUGCCAACAUGGGACUCUAGGAGACUGCCGGUGAUAACCGGAGGAAGGUGGGGACGACGUCAAGUCAUCAUGGCCCUUACGCCGGGCUACACACGUGCUACAAUGGGGUACAAGGGGCACAGCGAUGGGAGCAAUCCCAAAACCGCCUCAGUUCGGAUCGUAGUCUGCAACUCGACUACGUGAAGUUGGAAUCGCUAGUAAUCGCGAUCAGAACGCGCGGUGAAUACGUUCCCGGGCCUUGUACACACCGCCCGUCAAGUCAACCGAAUUGGUGACCCAA